GCCAUAGAUCUCACACCACCAACUCAUGAGACGGAAACCUUUAAGUCAGUGAAUUAAUAUCUGGGUUUUCCUUUCUUUCUUUUUCCAGCAUCUCUCAAGAACCUUAGCAAGAAUAAGAAAGUGGUUCUGUUUCCUGAAAUAGCUGAGACCCAGGAAGAGAGAAGGCAAUCUGUCCAAGAUGUUUUGAAUGUAGGUGGGUGAACCAGGACUCAUGAGUCACUUAAACCAUCCUUUAACAAUGAAACAGAAUAGUGGGGAGCUGCCCACCCCGAGCUCCGCACCGAGUGCUGAGAGAAUACAGAUGGCGGUGUCUGGACCACGGCCGUAGGGCUGCACAGGAGAGACAGACUUCAGGACCACAUGGAUCAGACCUGGCCGUGGAAGGGAUGGAAGAGAUAAGGCUGACGCUGAAGCUGGGGUCUCUGGAUUGGGCUCUGGGGUGGUCUGCUCUCAGCUAACCCUCC
ensembl:lncRNA